AGAACUAAUAAUCUGAGAAGUAGAAUGAUAGAGUAACGUCUUGAAAUACUGCCCAUAAUACUCCGAAUGGCGUAAUCUUAGAUAAAGAAGAUUGGGUCAUAAGCUCGGUGAAGACGGCUGAAAGAAACCCUAAUGAAAAUAGUCAUUGAGUGGAUGAUAGGCCGGUGGUCUAUAAA
rnacentral:ncRNA from 1 species